GGGCCGUUAGCUCAGUGGAUAGAGCGCCCGCCUUCUAAGCGGGCGGUCGCGAGUUCAAAUCUCGCACGGCCCA
rnacentral:tRNA from 1 species